rnacentral:rRNA from 1 species
UAGGGAAUCUUCGGCAAUGGACGAAAGUCUGACCGAGCAACGCCGCGUGAGUGAAGAAGGUUUUCGGAUCGUAAAACUCUGUUGUUAGAGAAGAACAAGGACGUUAGUAACUGAACGUCCCCUGACGGUAUCUAACCAGAAAGCCACGGCUAACUACGUGCCAGCAGCCGCGGUAAUACGUAGGUGGCAAGCGUUGUCCGGAUUUAUUGGGCGUAAAGCGAGCGCAGGCGGUUUCUUAAGUCUGAUGUGAAAGCCCCCGGCUCAACCGGGGAGGGUCAUUGGAAACUGGGAGACUUUAGUGCAGAAGAGGAGAGUGGAAUUCCAUGUGUAGCGGUGAAAUGCGUAGAGAUAUGGAGGAACACCAGUGGCGAAGGCGGCUCUCUGGUCUGUAACUGACGCUGAGGCUCGAAAGCGUGGGGAGCAAACAGG